CUAUUUUUAGUUUAUAAUGUUUAGUCAAAUAGCAACAAUGAUUUUUCUUCUUUUUUCCAAUUCAGCUGCACGGUGUGUUGGAGGGGGUCUCGAUGGCCUGUGACCUUGCCUUUAUCUGUCAGUCUGUCACCACUGGUCUUCAAAGUGCAGCUUAAAGGAUCUGAGGCUUCUGUGUGGCCUUGAUGUGAUCUGCUUUCCUGGUGCAUUCAGCUACAGGAUGCCCACAGAAGGAUGCAGAGAAGUUGAAGCAGCAUUUGCUACUUUCCUGAAGCACAGCUACCUAAGCAGAGCUCUGUUGUCACCUUUGCUCUGCUCUUGCCACACUGCAGCACCUAGCCCUGGGCAUGAUUGAAGCUGGGAACCAAAAGCUGGCCAGCACAGAGCCCAAAAUACCCAAGGACAUCCAUGACACAAUCUCAGAAGAGCCUGUACCAGCUUAUAAAUUGUCUGUGCAGUGGGAUCUGUCAGGGGGAAGCACAGCGUGCCUCCAUGGAGACGACAAAGUUUGGGACUGAAGCAGUGAGAGGCACGGGAUCAUCAUGGAGCAGUGCUGUGAGCUUUGGUAAUAAACUGACCCUGCAGAAGAGAGAAGGAGGAAGGAGAGGGUUCCUGUUGCCCUGGGCAUGGUGCAGGUAGCCCAGGGCAACUAUCACUAAGAGAC
rnacentral:lncRNA from 1 species